CGUGCAGGAGGACCGCGGGGAUCCGCUCGCGUUUGUCGAGCAGUAUUUCGCGCAGUUCAAGGUCGCGCUGCGCCCC
rnacentral:tRNA from 1 species